AAGCAGCUUGCUGCUUUGCUGACGAGUGGCGGACGGGUGAGUAAUGUCUGGGAAACUGCCCGAUGGAGGGGGAUAACUACUGGAAACGGUAGCUAAUACCGCAUAACGUCGCAAGACCAAAGAGGGGGACCUUAGGGCCUCUUGCCAUCGGAUGUGCCCAGAUGGGAUUAGCUAGUAGGUGGGGUAAAGGCUCACCUAGGCGACGAUCCCUAGCUGGUCUGAGAGGAUGACCAGCCACACUGGAACUGAGACACGGUCCAGACUCCUACGGGAGGCAGCAGUGGGGAAUAUUGCACAAUGGGCGCAAGCCUGAUGCAGCCAUGCCGCGUGUAUGAAGAAGGCCUUCGGGUUGUAAAGUACUUUCAGCGGGGAGGAAGGGAGUAAAGUUAAUACCUUUGCUCAUUGACGUUACCCGCAGAAGAAGCACCGGCUAACUCCGUGCCAGCAGCCGCGGUAAUACGGAGGGUGCAAGCGUUAAUCGGAAUUACUGGGCGUAAAGCGCACGCAGGCGGUUUGUUAAGUCAGAUGUGAAAUCCCCGGGCUCAACCUGGGAACUGCAUCUGAUACUGGCAAGCUUGGGUCUCGUAGAGGGGGGUAGAAUUCCAGGUGUAGCGGUGAAAUGCGUAGAGAUCUGGAGGAAUACCGGUGGCGAAGGCGGCCCCCUGGACGAAG
rnacentral:rRNA from 1 species